rnacentral:tRNA from 2 species
AUUUAUAUAAUAUAUUAAGUAUAUUUAACUUCCAAUUAAAAAGUUUAUAAAAAUAAUAUAAAUA